CAGUAGCCACGGUAACACGGAGGGUGCAAGCGUUAAUCGGAAUUACUGGGCGUAAAGCGCACGCAGGCGGUCUGACAAGUCAGAUGUGAAAUCCCCGGGCUUAACCUGGGAACUGCAUUUGAAACUGUCAGGCUGGAGUCUUGUAGAGGGGGGUAGAAUUCCAGGUGUAGCGGUGAAAUGCGUAGAGAUCUGGAGGAAUACCGGUGGCGAAGGCGGCCCCCUGGACAAAGACUGACGCUCAGGUGCGAAAGCGUGGGGAGCAAACAGGAUUAGAUACCCCAGUAGUCCCUGUCUCUUAUAC
rnacentral:rRNA from 1 species